UACGAGUGCCCCAAGCGUUAUCCGGAAUCAUUGGGCGUAAAGGGUGCGUAGGUUGAUAGGUAAGUCAGUGGUGAAAUACUCCGACUCAAUCGGAGAACUGCCGUUGAUACUAUCUAUCUUGAAUACGGUGGAGGCGGGCGGAAUGCGUCAUGUAGUGGUGAAAUACUUAGAUAUGACGCAGAACACCCAUUGCGAAGGCAGCUCGCUACACCGGCAUUGACACUGAGGCACGAAAGCGUGGGGAUCAAACAGG
rnacentral:rRNA from 1 species